UACGAGGGGGGCAAGUGUUGUUCGGAAUCACUGGGCGUAAAGGGAGCGUAGGCGGAUGUUUAAGUCGGGUGUUUAAAACCGGGGCCCAACCCCGGAGCGGCACCCGAAACUGGGCAUCUUGAAUAGGUCAGAGGCUGGUGGAAUUGGAGGUGUAGCGGUGGAAUGCGUAGAGAUCUCCAAGAACACCUAUUGCGAAGGCAGCCAGCUGGGACCAUAUUGACGCUGGAGGCGCGAAAGCUAGGGGAGCAAACGGG
rnacentral:rRNA from 1 species